AGUGAACGCUGGCGGUAGGCCUAACACAUGCAAGUCGAACGGCAGCACAGUAAGAGCUUGCUCUUACGGGUGGCGAGUGGCGGACGGGUGAGGAAUACAUCGGAAUCUACUUUUUCGUGGGGGAUAACGUAGGGAAACUUACGCUAAUACCGCAUACGACCUACGGGUGAAAGCAGGGGAUCUUCGGACCUUGUGCGAUUGAAUGAGCCGAUGUCGGAUUAGCUAGUUGGCGGGGUAAAGGCCCACCAAGGCGACGAUCCGUAGCUGGUCUGAGAGGAUGAUCAGCCACACUGGAACUGAGACACGGUCCAGACUCCUACGGGGGGCAGCAGUGGGGAAUAUUGGACAAUGGGCGCAAGCCUGAUCCAGCCAUACCGCGUGGGUGAAGAAGGCCUUCGGGUUGUAAAGCCCUUUUGUUGGGAAAGAAAAGCAGCAGGUUAAUACCCCGCUGUUCUGACGGUACCCAAAGAAUAAGCACCGGCUAACUUCGUG
rnacentral:rRNA from 1 species